ensembl:snRNA U6 U6 spliceosomal RNA
GUGCUCACCUGAGCAGCACAUAAACUAAAACUGGAACAAUAUAGAAGCUAGCAUGGCCGCUGCACAAGGAUGACCGACAUGCAAAUUCAUGAAGCAGUCCAUAUUUUC